UGGGGUAUAGCCAAGUGGUUUAAGGCAGUGGGUUUUGAUCCCACCAUUCCUAGGUUCGAAUCCUGGUACCCCAG
rfam:Blochmannia endosymbiont of Camponotus (Colobopsis) obliquus strain 757, complete genome.